UUGUCCUACGGGGGGCAGCAGUGGGGAAUAUUGCACAAUGGGGGGAACCCUGAUGCAGCGACGCCGCGUGAGUGAAGAAGUAUUUCGGUAUGUAAAGCUCUAUCAGCAGGGACGAAGAUGACGGUACCUGCAGAAGAAGCCCCGGCUAACUACGUGCCAGCAGCCGCGGUAAUACGUAGGGGGCAAGCGUUAUCUGGAUUUACUGGGUGUAAAGGGAGUGUAGGCGGGAAAGCAAGUCAGAAGUGAAAACUAUGGGCUUAACCCAUAGCCUGCUUUUGAAACUGUUUUUCUUGAGUGAAGUAGAG
rnacentral:rRNA from 1 species